rnacentral:lncRNA from 1 species
CGGACGAAACUCGAGCUUCAGCAAGCUGUAUCCUUGUUUCUCUGAGAGCUGGGGAGACUUGCCGUUGAAAGAGAACGACUCGGAGGACAUGUUAGUCUACGGUAUCCUCAACGACGCUUUUCACGGCGGUUGGGAACCGUCUUCUUCUUCAUCCUCAGACGAAGAUCGGAGCUCUUAUGUUGAAAACAGCAGAAAAUGAACUGAAAUGUCAUUUAAUGUUUUACACACGCUUUAAAAAAAAUAGAUACUAAUUUUAUAUUUAUUUGAGUAUUAAAAUUCUAUAGUAUUUAUUAUCUUUAUUAAUUUCAUUAGAAACUAAAUUAACAAAAAAAACUAUUGGAAUCAUAAAACAAUACUUCCAGCAAAAAUUUCUUUUACAGCAGCAACCAUACACUGAAGGACAAAAGGCAAAGACAAGUUGUGAGAAAGGAGAGAGACCAAACACAAUAUUGCUUGCUUCCGUAGAUUGCAUGACAUCAUCCCUUACGGCUACUUCACCUGUGUCUUAUGUGGAUAAUCCGCACGUGUUUUAAUUCACGAACCUUCAUAGCAAUGAGAAAAAUCCAUUACUUUCAUAUUUUCAACUUUUUAAUUCACCCCACUAGACACUAAAAUAAUAUUUACAAGAAUAGUCUAGUCUUUGUCAUAUUCAAGAAGAUCUUCCAGGUUCAUGAACCAUUUUUGUCUCGGUCUACCCUAUAAAUAUAACGAACCAUCUUUACAUUGAUUCCCACUGCAAAUUUCAAUACUAUCAAUAGAGCAAAGAUUAGAAAGAAAAAAAAAACAUUUUUAACAACAAAAAAAAAAGAUUCUUCAAAUUUAUUUCAUCUCUUUAUCAUGGCUGUAGAAUCCGACUACUCUUUUCUUGAAUCGAUAAGACAAUACUUACUAGAAGAAUCGGAGUUACGACUCACUGAGUCAAUGGUGGCGCAAUCUGGUACGACGGUUCACAGCGUGAGACCGGUGUACGGAAGAAACUCGAGCUUCAGCAAGCUGUAUCCUUGUUUCUCUGAGAGCUGGGGAGACUUGCCGUUGAAAGAGAACGACUCGGAGGACAUGUUAGUCUACGGUAUCCUCAACGACGCUUUUCACGGCGGUUGGGAACCGUCUUCUUCUUCAUCCUCAGACGAAGAUCGGAGCUCUUUCGCGACGGUUAAAACCGAGAGGAUAAAUUUAUAAUCUAUUUUCAGCCAAGAAAUUAAACAUAUGUUAAUUCUACAAGCUUCUGAAGGCAAAAAAAAACAGCAGAAAAUGAACUGAAAUGUCAUUUAAUGUUGUACACACGCUUUUUAAAAAAUAGAUAUUAAUUUUAUCUUUAUUUGAAAUUCUAUAUUAGUAUUUAUUAUCUUGAUUAGUUUGAUUAGAAACUAAAUUAACAAGAAAACUAUUGGAAUCAUAAAACAAUACUUCUAGCAAAAAAAUUCUUUACAGCAACAAUUAAGUUACAGAUGUUAAUAAACAAUUAUUUUGAACAAAAGGAGUAUGUAUGCUUAAUUAUUCAGUAACAUAUAAUCUUUUUCUAAGGAAAAAAAUCAUCUUUAUUUUUUAGGUAAUAUUGUAAAAAAUAACAUAUUGAAUAUAGAUCAAGUAGUAUAUUGCUGAGAGCGAUAAGAUUACGAAGUAAAAACCUAGCUAAGCUAUAGAGCCUGCCAAAUAUUUAACGGCGAACAUUGUUCAAGUAAAUUAGAAAAUUUGUAUUUUCGACGAAUUUUAGAUAUUAUAAUGGCUAUCAAAGUUAUUAAUAUUUCAACUAAGAUGUGAAUGAACUAUUAAGGAAUGAGCAUGCUAAUAAUGAACUCUGUAACAAGUUUAUGGACAAGUGCAUUGUGAAAGGUUAAAUUUUACAUUAUAAAUUCGAGGAGGCCUUUUUACCUUACUUAUCUUACUUUUUAAAAGAGACUGCUUCAUCAUGAAGCCUUAACAUAUUACUUAACUUUCUUUUUUUAAAGUGAUGGCUCCAUCAUGAUAGCAAUGUUUCAUCUGAAUUAAUACCAAGUUAGCUAGCCAAAGAAUGUGUAAUAAGAUCUCUAGCUAGAUUUUCCAUCAACAGAAUAAAACUUUAUGUGAUUUCAAACCAAUAUAUAUAAGGGAGUGUAAUUAAGUAAAUGAAAGAUAUCUUGUAUCCUCUUUAUAAUUAGAUAAGUUUGUGAAUUUGAAAGAAUAACCGUCUUUCUUCCAAGGAGACUUCUUAGAAAGUUGACAAAAGGGUGAGACCGCAUUCAUGAUGCACUUUAAGCUAAAUGUUUUAGGCAAAUUGACAAUUUAUUUCGGCCAAGAGAUUAUAAAAGCUAAAUGAAUUAUUUUCUUCUGUGAGAGGAUAAAUUUAUAAUCUAUUUUCAGCCAAGAAAUUAAACAUAUGUUAAUUCUACAAGCUUCUGAAGGCAAAAAAAACAGCAGAAAAUGAACUGAAAUGUCAUUUAAUAUUGUACACACGUUUUUAAAAAAUAGAUAUUAAUUUUAUCUUUAUUUGAAAUUCUAUAUUAGUAUUUAUUAUCUUGAUUAGUUUGAUUAGAAACUAAAUUAACAAGAAAACUAUUGGAAUCAUAAAACAAUACUUCUAGCAAAAAAAUUUUUUACAGCAACAAUUAAGUUACAGAUGUUAAAAAAACAAUUAUUCAAUAUUCUAUUUUGAAAAAGAAAAAAAAAGAGUUUUAAUGUUUUUAUUGCACUUGUCCUUUGUACAUUUAUACUUGAUCGUCUUUAUGACGAGAUUUGCAAAAAUCCAUUGUCUCGAUACCUGAUUGUGUUGGCAUUUGGAACGCAUCGUAUUCUUCUCAUCCUACUAUAUAAUAGCAGCUAAAUUGGGGCUUUUUAAGCUAUGUCACAUAGGCACAAAUAUUAUCAUCCAACCAAACUGCCAUGUCAUUUCGGACUGGGCUUGGAUUUUAAAAAAAUUAAUCAGCUUUGCAGCCCUUUUGACCCAUCGCGCAGCUGUCUCGAUCCCGUUUCACAGCCCAGCCCAUUUGCCCAGCCUUUUGUCGAUUCUAUUUCAUUCGCAGGCCUAACCCAUUUUUUAUACAGAUAGCAAGUUUAUUGUUUCAUAUAUGAUUCUUAGUAUUUGAAUAUAACAUAUAACAUAUAAAUCUAAUAAUAUUAAAAUAUAUUUUGUUUUUGUUAAGGGUAGUAGAACAUCUGACCUGAAAACUGAAGAACUAAAAUAUAAAAAAUGAAAAUUAUAUGAUAUUCAUAAAAUUUUCCAUCUGCUUUGUCUUAAAAAAAAUUAAUUACGUAACUAACAUUGCAUGAUGUUACGUACAAACUUUUGUUAGCUUUUAUUUUGUAGUUUUAUGAUAAUUACAAUAGUAUACAUAAUGAGAAUGAAUAAUAUAUAUAGAAAUUAUGUCGUUAGUUAUUGAAACUACUUUGAAAAUUUUAAAUAUUUAUUUUUUAUUUUAUACAAUUUUAAAUCUAAAUCCCAAAUCCCCACCCGUUAAUUAUAAUCCUAAAUAACCACAUCACACUAAAAUAUUUCAUUUUACUAAAUUUAAUAAGUAAAAUGACACUAAUACUCUAGAUAUAUUAAAAAUUACAUUGAAAGUGGAAUAAGCUUACAUUGAAAUGGCUGCCCCUUUCAUGCUUCUAAGGAAUUUAAAUCAAAAGAAAGGGUUAUGCAAUGGAACACGUCUGAUUGUUCCUUACCUAAGUGAACGUGUUAUUAGAGGUGAAAUAGUUACAGGCUCUCAUAUUGGACAUAAAGUGGACCUUCCAAGAAUCAUACUAUCGGAAUCAGUAACUAAACAUCCAUUCACCCUUGAAAGGCGGCAAUUUCCAAUCAGGCUAUGUUACGCAAUGACAAUUAACAAAAGUUAGAGCCGGUGUUUGAAAUGUGUCCUAUUGUAUUUGCUACAACCCGUUUUCACCCAUGGACAGCUCUAUGUUGGUCUUUACCGAGUUAUUACCCAAUCAGGCCUCAAAAUUAUACAAGGAAAGGAUCAAAAGAUAGGAAGGGUUAAAAACAUAGUCUACAAAGAAAUAUACAACGGUCUACCUCGCUCCCCUAAAAAAAAUAUUAUUUUGCAACACAAUUCACAACACAAUCCAAAAAUACUAAAUUCUGUUCACUCUCCCCCACAAUCACGAUCAGAUGCUCAUCCAGAGCAGAUUCCCCGGAAUCACGAACAAAUUUCUAUACUAUAAGAUGCAAGUAACCAGUAAGUCUGCCGACCAAAACUCUCCGAACUCAAUAAUGAAUAUGUACUAACAAAAUUCUUUUAUAAUAAUAGGCCCGCUCGCAAUAGAAAAUGCCAUCUCUACAAGACCAUUCACAAUAUACUUCGCAGACAUCGUCUACGUCUUAUCUUAUUUUUAUUCCUUUUCGUUAGCUACCAAACUCUAUUCCCUUUGGACAAUUACUUAUUUAUACUGUCAAACUAUUUAGUUUUGAACUAUGUGAACUGGAUAACGUUCCCUUUGGAUUGGAUUGGAUUGGAUUGCGUUUACACAGGUACUAAUAUUUUAUUAAAUAAUAUUUGUUUUAAGCAAUAAAUAUAUAAUACAAUAAUUUUUUGUAGAUCCAAAAUGGUACGUCUAACCAUAUGGGACAACGAGGCGGCUAAUUUCAGGGAGUUAAAUCGCAUAUCUACCAAAAAAAACCAAAUCGUAAUCAUCACAAGUAUCAUUCCAAGGUUACAUGAAGGUAAUAAACUAAACAAAAAGUUUAUGUCAAACUAAAUGCUUACAAAUAUUACACUUAUACAGGAAAACUAUCACUCACAACCACAUCAGGAUCGCACUUUUACUUUGACACCGACAUUGAUAUCAUACAACGCUUCUAAAAGACGAAUAAACUGCUAUCCUAAGCCUGAUAGCAAACGACACCACUCAAUACUCAAAAAUACUCUUUUCUCCUAUGAAAUUUGAUUGCUCAACACAAUAUAUUAUUCAAACUUACUUUUGUUUAGAAAAGAAAAACUGAUCACCGCAUCACAUUCAAACAAAAACUCUAUGGUUAAAUCUACAACACACAAAAUUAACAAACACUUUCUUAAACUAAAAACUACUAAUCAAAAAUAUAAAUUUUCUUAACUUGAACAUGUUAUCCGCGCGUAGCGCGGACACCGAAUCUAGUUUGUGUAAAAUAUCUUAUUUUACAGUGAUUUGUGUGUAACAACAAGUAACAACUAACAAUACCUGUCAAUUCAUAUCUGUUCACAAUAAUUUAUAUAUUUAUAUAUAUAUUCUUCUGGUAUUUUUGCUUUAUCCAGUAGCGAGAACUAGACAUGAUUAUGGAUUUUGAAAACUCGGUUUGGUUAAGAGAAAUUAAUUUGGCAUAGAUGUGAUGUGAUUCGGUGAACCGGCGGUCAAGUUGGCCUGAACGACAAAAGGCAAAGACAAGUUGUGAGAGAGGAGAGAGACCAAACACAAUAUUGCUUGCUUCCGUAGAUUGCAUGACAUCAUCCCUUACGGCUACUUCACCUGUGUCUUAUGUGGAUAAUCCGCACAUGUUUUAAUUCACGAACCUUCAUAGCAAUGAGAAAAAUUCAUUACUUUCAUAUUUUCAACUUUUUAAUUCACCCCACUAGACACUAAAAUAAUAUUUACAAGAAUAGUCUAGUCUUUGUCAUAUUCAAGAUCUUCCAGGUUCAUGAACCCUUUUUGUCUCAGUCUACUCUAUAAAUAUAACGAACCCUCUUUACAUUGAUUCCCACUGCAGAUUUCAAUACCAUCAAUAGAGCAAAUAUCAGAAAGUAAAAAAUAACAAAAAAAAAAUUCUUCAAAUUUAUUCCAUCUCUUUAGUAUGGCUGUAGAAUCUGACUACGUUUUUCUUGAAUCGAUAAAGCAAUACUUACUAGAAGAAUCGGAGUUACGACUCACUGAGUCAAUGGUGGCGCAAUCUGGUACGACGGUUCACAGCGUGAGACCGGUGUACGGAAGAAACUCGAGCUUCAGCACGCUGUAUCCUUGUUUCUCUGAGAGCUGGGGAGACUUGCCGUUGAAAGAGAACGACUCGGAGGACAUGUUAGUCUACGGAAUCCUCAACGACGCUUUUCACGGCGGUUGGGAACCGUCUUCGUCAUCCUCAGACGAAGAUCGGAGCUCUUUCGCGACGGUUAAAACCGAGAAUUUCUCGGCGGUUGAUUCUGUUCCGGCGAAGAAGACGAGUUCUGUUCAAGCGCCGGUGAAAGGGAAGCA